CAUGCAAGUCGAACGCGUCUUGGGGGGCAACUCCUGAGAUGAGUGGCGAACGGGUGAGUAACACGUGAGUAAUCUACCCUCGAGUGAGGAAUAACCCCGCGAAAGCGGAGCUAAUACUGCAUAAUACUCUGGAGCGUAAGCUUUCAGAGUCAAAGCUUUCCGAGCAAUCGGACAGCGCUUGAGGAUGAGCUUGCGGCCUAUUAGCUUGUUGGUGAGGUAACGGCUCACCAAGGCAAAGAUGGGUAGCCGGCUUGAGAGGGUGUACGGCCUCACUGGGACUGAGACACGGCCCAGACUCCUACGGGAGGCAGCAGUGGGGAAUCUUGCGCAAUGGGCGAAAGCCUGACGCAGCGACGCCGCGUGGAGGAUGAAGGCCUUCGGGUUGUAAACUCCUGUCAGAGGAGAAGAAAUCCCGAGUAAUCGGGUUUGACGG
rnacentral:rRNA from 1 species